rnacentral:tRNA from 1 species
GCAUUGGUGGUUCAGUGGAAGAAUGCUCGCCUGCCAAGCGGGAGACCUUGAGUUGUUUCCCGACUAAUACA